rnacentral:rRNA from 1 species
UGGGGAAUAUUGCACAAUGGGCGAAAGCCUGAUGCAGCGACGCCGCGUGAGGGACGAAGGUCUUCGGAUUGUAAACCUCUUUCAGCAGGGACGAAGCGAAAGUGACUUUACCUGCAGAAGAAGCACCGGCUAACUACGUGCCAGCAGCCGCGGUAAUACGUAGGGUGCAAGCGUUGUCCGGAUUUAUUGGGCGUAAAGAGCUCGUAGGCGGUUCGUCACGUCGGAUGUGAAAACCUGGGGCUUAACCCCGGGCCUGCAUACGAUACGGGCGAACUAGAGUUCGGUAGGGGAGACUGGAAUUCCUGGUGUAGCGGUGAAAUGCGCAGAUAUCAGGAGGAACACCGGUGGCGAAGGCGGGUCUCUGGGCCGAUACUGACGCUGAGGAGCGAAAGCGUGGGGAGCAAACA